rnacentral:lncRNA from 1 species
CACACGAAGUUAUCGGGUCUUACCUGGACAAAAUCUCCACACGUAGUCAUCGGGUCUUACCCAGACAUAAUCUCCACACGUAGUCAUCGGGUCUUACCCGGAAUAUAUUUCCAAAUUUCAUGUACAUUUAAUCACAUGUUACAACAUUCACAUCGACUGUCAUAUUUGUAAUUCAUUUGCCUCAUCAAAUAUCUAAUAAUACACACCUUUCACAUUUGGUCAUUCGGCCACAAUAUACACACAUCGCCUACAUAUUUCACACUAGCCAUUCGGCUUUACCAC